GCUGGCGUAGUGGCUCACGCCCGUCAUCCCAACAUUUUUGGGAGGCUGAGGCAGGAGGAUCGCUUGAGCCCAGGAGUUCAGGACCAGCCUUGGCCAACAUAGUGAGAUUGUGUCUCUAUAAACAAUUUAAAAACUAGCUGGGUGUGGGUGCAUGCCUGUAGUCCCAGCUACUCAGAGGCCUGGGGCAGGAGGAUGGCUUGAGCCUGGAAGGUCAAGGUUGCAGUGAGCCAGGAUUAUACCACUGUACUCCAGCCUGGGCAACAUAGUGAGACCCUGUCUCU
rnacentral:sRNA from 1 species